GUAGGGAAUAUUGGGCAAUGGUCGGAAGACUGACCCAGCCAUGCCGCGUGCAGGAAGACGGCCCUCUGGGUUGUAAACUGCUUUUAUCUGGGAAGAAAAAGGCCAUGCGUGGCAAAUUGCCGGUACCAGAUGAAUAAGCACCGGCUACUCCGUGCCAGCAGCCGCGGUAAUACGGAGGGUGCGAGCGUUGUCCGGAUUUAUUGGGUUUAAAGGGUGCGUAGGCGGCUGAUUAAGUCAGCGGUGAAAGACGUCGGCUUAACCGGAGCAGUGCCGUUGAUACUGGUUGGCUUGAGUGUCGGAGGGGUACAUGGAAUUGAUGGUGUAGCGGUGAAAUGCAUAGAUACCAUCAGGAACACCGAUAGCGAAGGCAUUGUACUGGCCGACAACUGACGCUGAUGCACGAAAGUGUGGGGAUCGAACAGGAUUAGAAACCCGGGUAGUCC
rnacentral:rRNA from 1 species